CGGACGGGUGAGUAACGCGUGGGUAACCUGCCUCAUACAGGGGGAUAACAGUUAGAAAUGACUGCUAAUACCGCAUAAGCGCACAGAAUCGCAUGAUUCGGUGUGAAAAACUCCGGUGGUAUGAGAUGGACCCGCGUCUGAUUAGCUAGUUGGUGGGGUAAAGGCCUACCAAGGCGACGAUCAGUAGCCGACCUGAGAGGGUGAUCGGCCACAUUGGGACUGAGACACGGCCCAAACUCCUACGGAAGGCAGCAG
rnacentral:rRNA from 1 species